rnacentral:rRNA from 1 species
AGGACGAACGCUGGCGGCGUGCUUAACACAUGCAAGUCGAGCGGUAAGGCCUUUCGGGGUACACGAGCGGCGAACGGGUGAGUAACACGUGGGUGAUCUGCCCUGCACUCUGGGAUAAGCCUGGGAAACUGGGUCUAAUACCGGAUAUGACCUGCUCUCGCAGUGGGGGGUGGGUGGAAAGAUUUUAUCGGUGCAGGAUGGGCCCGCGGCCUAUCAGCUUGUUGGGUGGGGUAAUGGCCUACCAAGGCGACGACGGGUAGCCGACCUGAGAGGGUGACCGGCCACACUGGGACUGAGACACGGCCCAGACUCCUACGGGAGGCAGCAGUGGGGAAUAUUGCACAAUGGGCGAAAGCCUGAUGCAGCGACGCGCGUGAGGAUGAAGGCCUUCGGGUUAGUAAACCUCUUUCAGCAGGGACGAAGCGCAAGUCGACGUACCUGCAGAAGAACGACACCGGACUAACUACGUGCCAGCACGCCGACGGUAA